GAACGCUGGCGCAGGCUGCGGCGUUGCAGAGGACGCGUGUCCCGGAGCGCCCUGCGGGGCCAGCCCAACUCUCCCUAGGUGCUUUCUCCCAGAAAGAAACAAGACUACGUAAUAAUAAUAGGAAUGGUACCGCGCUGCCAAUGCGGAGCAGCCUUGCACCUGAGGCCAGUAACCAGAGGUUUUUGUCUUCGCUGUGGCCUGCAGGACGAGGACCUCGCCGGCUUUUUUUCUCGCUGACCGAGCAGCUGAGACCGCCUUUCAGGGGUCGGCAGUGUGGACUGGCUGGUCCCGAUCGUGGGGACCAGGGACUUAUUCCCUCGAGGGUCGACUGUUGGAAGUAAUGUAGGUUUUGAUAGUGAAGUGUGUGGAGAGGAAGAAGGAAGCACACCUAUAGGAUGUGGAGAAGGGAUUUCCCCUAGAGAAAUUUUUAAAGGUUGAGCAUGUAUGUUUUGAAACUUCCCAAAGAUCCAUUGAAAAGUGAACCUUCCGGCCGGGCGCGGUGGCUCACGCCUGUAAUCCCAGCACUUUGGGAGGCCGAGGCGGGCGGAUCACGAGGUCAGGAGAUCGAGACCAUCGUGGCUAACACGGUGAAACCCCGUCUCUACUAAAAAUACAGAAAAUUCACCAGGCGUGGUGGCGGGCGCCUGUAGUCCCAGCUACUCAGGAGGCUGAGGCAGGAGAAUCACUUGAACUCAGGAGGCAGAAGUUGCAGUGAGUCGAGAUCGUGCCACUGCACUCCAGCCUGGGCGACAGAGCGACACUCCGUCUCAAAAAAAAAAAGAGAAAAGUAAACCUUCCAUCCCUAAUACCCUGUAUCUCGGUGAUCCCCAGUAGUCACUACUGUUAAUACUCUCUUAGGUUUUCUUCCAAAUCUUAUUAAUACCUUUGCAUAUUAUGUUUUUAUUUAUGGUAGAGAUUUUCAUCCAUUCAACAGAAGCUUAUGGACUGCCUUUUUAGUUUAUUUUAAAAGAAUUUUUCUAGCUUUAAAUAAAAAUUGUAUAUAUUUACAGUGUACCAUGUGAUGUUUUCAUAGUUGUAUAUGUUGUGAAAUGAUAACAUACCCAUCACCUCACAUAGUCGUGUGUGCUUGUGUGUAUAUGUUUAUUUUGUGCUAAGAAUAUUUAAGGUCGGCCAGGUGUCGUGGCUCAGGCCUGUAAUCCCAGCUCUUUGGGAGGCCGAGGCGGGCAGAUCCCUUGAGCCCAGGAGUUGGAGUCCAGCCUAGGCAACAUAGUGAGACCCCAUCUCUACAAAAAAAUAAAAAAAUUAGCCAGGCACAGUGGCACUUGUAGUCCCAGCUACUUGAGAGGCUGAGAUGGGAGGAUCACUUGAGCCUGGGAGGCAGAGGUUGCAGUGAGCCAAGAUCCCGCCAUUAUUCUGCUCUCAUUCUAUGAGUUCCACUUUUUUUGACUCUACAUAUAAGUGGGAUCAUGAAGUAUUUGUGUUUCUGUGCCUAGCUUAUUUCCCUUAGCAUAAAUUCACCCAUGUUGUCACAAAUGACAGGAUUUUCUUCUUUUUAAAGGCUGCAUAGUAUUCAUUAUAUAUAUAAAUAUACAUACAUAUACCACAUUUUUACAUUUCACGUUUUCUUUAUCCAUCAGUUCACUCUUAGGUGAUUCCAUACUUUGGCUAUUAUGAAUAAUGCUGCAAUGAGCAUGGUGAUGCAGAUAUCUCUUUGACAUACUGAUUUCAUUUUCUUUGGAUAUAUACCCAGAAUAUAUGGUAUAUACGUAUAUAUUGUAUAUAUGGUACAUAUGCAUAUAUGAUAUAUAUGGUAUAUACUAUAUGGUUUAUACUGUAGUUCUAUUUUUAAUUUUUUGAGGAGCCUCCAUACUGCCUUCCAUAGUGGCUAUACCAAUUUACAUGCUCACCAACCAUGCCUAUCUUGGUUUUGAUUUGUUUGCAGACUCCACUAGUUGUCUAGGUUCUGAACUAGUUUUUGCCUCUUGCUCUCAUCCUUGCCCCCAAAACCACAGGUUCACGGAAAUUUUCCUGCAAGGAAAAGUUUUGUUUUGUUUAUUUUUAUUUUUGUUAAUGGUUUGAGAAGGGGAGAAGGGCUCUACCUAAACACCUGAACCUUUCUAAGGCUAUCCUUUGUAAGCACUGUGUGGUCUAAUUAUUGGACCUCUGUGCUUAUGAUUCUAUAAUACCUCCUCUUAAACAAGAUUAGUUUGCUGCUGCUUGAAAGAUCUUGGCCAUUACUACUUCAAACUUAGGUCAAUGUCAGAUUUAUAUUUGAGUAUGAUGUGUGUAAUUCUUGAAAAUACAGAUUCCCUUUAAAAGAGAACUGAGGCGGGGCACGGUGACUCAUGCCUGUAAUCCCAGCCCUCUGGGAGGCCGAGGUGGGUGGAUCACCUGAGGUCAGGAGUUCAAGACCAGCUCGGCCAACAUGGUGAAACCCUGUCUCUACUAAAAAUGCAAAAAUUAGCCGGGUGUGGUGGCAGGUGCCUGUAAUGCCAGCUGCUCGGGAGGCUGAGGCAGGAGAAUCUCUUGAACCCGGGAGGCGAAGGUUGCAGUGAGCUGAGAUCGCACCACUGCACUCCAGCCUGGGCGACAGAGCAAGACUCCAUCUCAAAAAAAUAAAUAAAAUAGAACUGAAAGGAAAAAUGUGCUGUAAUAUAAUUGUGUAUUCAAACUACAUAUUCUGAACCAGAUAAAUGAGAUAUAUAUCGCGAUGCUUUGUAAACUGAAAUACUAUAUACAAAUUUAAAUGUAUUGACAGCCUU
rnacentral:lncRNA from 10 species